CUUCCUACUUUUCAUACUUCUUCCACAGUUCUCUUAUCUCGCUCCUCCCAAAUGUUAAUAGUAGUGACAUCCAUAGGAUAAUAGCGAAAGCUAGUGCUGUUAGAGUUUAUAUUUCUUAAAAUUUGUCCUGUUGCUGCCUGGUGUCAUCCCAUUCUGUCUCGGACUUCCAAGACGAGCGGAUGUCACCAAGCAGUACAGCAAGUCAUACCUAAGGGUGUCAUACAAAGAUAGAAAGGGCUUUUAUUUAAACUACUAUAUGGAAUUAUUGACGGAGAUAUUUGCCAAUCGAUGUGGUCGCAUACGUCCCUGAUAAUUUGGACAUCAACCAGUAAAAAGGAAUAUCGCAAACAAUUCCUCCAUAAUUUUAUCAACUGUUACAAAGUAUAUCAUGUUUUCGAAACAACGAAUAGCUAAGCGAUAUUAUUUAUUUUAGUUUGGUUUCUGUAAUUUGUAAUGUAAGUGUGGGUCAUGAGUGUUAUGGAAUGGGUCAUGAAUGUUAUAUCUUAAAAUCGCCUUAUUUAAUCAAAUAUGUUCUAAUUGAAUUCAUUUGUCAUUGUGUGCUUAUUUAUAUUUUUUUAUUGUGUUAUUUUGGACAUAAAUUAAUUCAGCUAAUAACUUUUUUAUUUUUUGUAUUUAAAGACAAUAAUUUCUUUGGAUGUUUUUCUCUCAAUUAUUAAAUAUAAAUACAUAAGGAAUUAUUAUAGUGCAUACGCUUUACGCAUCUUCUUCUCCCCUUGUUCCCUCAAUCAUAACCAUCUCUCUUCUUCACUCUUUCUUUUUAACAAUCUUCCUCUUUUCCCCUUCAACAACAAUCUUCCCUAUCUGCUGCCACGAAACGUUUCUUUCUACUCAAUUUUCGAAUCUCCUAUUCCUUCCUAUAUAUCCGUCACUCUCCUCCUAGUUGUUCCUUCAAAACUAAAUUGUUAAAAAGGCCUUUGGAAAAUUCCAAAGUGGUAACGCAUAUAACAUACAAUAUGUAUAUUAUAGUGGUGAUAUAUUUAAUAUAUUUGUAAUGGUAUUGUUAUUGCUAAUCUUUCGCAAACCAUAUAUGUACAUAUGUACUUUGUAUACUGUAUAAUUAUUGCGUUUGUCAAAUAAACUAUCUUUAAACACCUA